CUAAUACAUGCAAGUCGAGCGCAGGAAGCAGACUGAUCUCCUUCGGGAGUGACGUUUGUGGAAUGAGCGGCGGACGGGUGAGUAACACGUGGGCAACCUGCCUGUAAGACCGGGAUAACUUGCGGAAACGUGAGCUAAUACCGGAUAAAGCUCCAUGCCGCAUGGCAUGGGGAUGAAAGACGGCUUAGCUGUCGCUUGCAGAUGGGCCCGCGGCGCAUUAGCUAGUUGGUGGGGUGAUGGCCUACCAAGGCGACGAUGCGUAGCCGACCUGAGAGGGUGACCGGCCACACUGGGACUGAGACACGGCCCAGACUCCUACGGGAGGCAGCAGUAGGGAAUCUUCCGCAAUGGACGAAAGUCUGACGGAGCGACGCCGCGUGAGUGAUGAAGGUCUUCGGAUCGUAAAACUCUGUUGUUAGGGAAGAAUAAGUAUAAGGCGAAUAACCUUAUACCUUGACGGUACCUAACCAGAAAGCCCCGGCUAACUACGUGCCAGCAGCCGCGGUAAUACGUAGGGGGCAAGCGUUGUCCGGAAUUAUUGGGCGUAAAGGGCGCGCAGGCGGUCUUCUAAGUCUGAUGUGAAAGCCCCCGGCUUAACCGGGGAGGGUCAUUGGAAACUGGGAGACUUGAGUGCAGGAGAGGGAAGCGGAAUUCCAUGUGUAGCGGUGAAAUGCGUAGAGAUAUGGAGGAACACCAGUGGCGAAGGCGG
rnacentral:rRNA from 1 species